rnacentral:rRNA from 1 species
CAGAACUGUGGGGACGCAGAAGGAGAGCACGAGCCGGAAAUGGAAAAGCCGGUACAAGCGUAUAGCAGUCAUGCAGGCAAAACCGCAUGAAAAAUGUAAAGCGUUAUGUGGAUCGAACAUUAGUAGAGAAGCGUGUGAGCCAGCUGCCAAGAAAAGCCGCUAUUGCUUCAUAAGUACCCGUACCGUAAACCGACACAGGUGGAUGAGGAGAGAAUCCUAAGGCCGGCGGGAGAAGUGUUGUUAAGGAACUCGGCAAAAUGACUCCGUAACUUCGGGAGAAGGAGUGCCACAGAGAUGUGGCCGCAGAGAAAUGGCCCAAGCAACUGUUUAGCAAAAACACAGGUCUAUGCAAAACCGAAAGGUGAGGUAUAUGGGCUGACGCCUGCCCGGUGCUGGAAGGUUAAGAGGAGAGGUUAGAGCAAUCGAAGCUUUGAAUUUAAGCCCCAGUAAACGGCGGCCGUAACAAUAACGGUCCUAAGGUAGCGAAAUUCCUUGUCGGGUAAGUUCCGACCCGCACGAAAGGCGUAAUGAUUUGGGCACUGUCUCAACAACACACCCGGUGAAAUUGAAAUACCAGUGAAGAUGCUGGUUACCUGCGCCAGGACGGAAAGACCCCAUGGAGCUUUACUCCAGUCUGAUACUGGGAUUCGGUACUGUCUGUACAGGAUAGGUGGGAGGCUAGGAAAUGGUGACGCCAGUUGCCAUGGAGCCAACCUUGGGAUACCACCCUUACAGUACUGGGUUUCUAACCUGCAGCCGUGACCCGGCUGGGGGACAAUGUCUGACGGGGAGUUUGACUGGGGCGGUCGCCUCCGAAAGAGUAUCGGAGGCGCUCAAAGGUUCCCUCAGAACGGUUGGAAACCGUUCGAAGAGUGCAAAGGCAGAAGGGAGCUUGACUGCGACACCGACGGGUGGAGCAGAUACGAAAGUAGGACUUAGUGAUCCGGUGGUAUAAAGUGGGAUUGCCAUCGCUCAACGGAUAAAAGCUACCCUGGGAUAACAGGCUUAUCACUCCCAAGAGUUCACAUCGACGGAGUGGUUUGGCACCUCGAUGUCGGCUCAUCGCAUCCUGGAGCUGUAGCAGGUUCCAAGGGUUGGGCUGUUCGCCCAUUAAAGCGGUACGCGAGCUGGGUUCAGAACGUCGUGAGACAGUUCGGUCCCUAUCCGGCGUGGGCGUAGGAUAUUUGAGAGGAGCUGUCCUUAGUACGAGAGGACCGGGAUGGACAAACCUCUGGUGUAUCUGUUGUUUUACCAAAGGCAUGGCAGAGUAGCCAAGUUUGGCAGGGAUAAACGCUGAAGGCAUCUAAGCGUGAAGCCCCCCUCAAGAUAAGAUAUCCCAUCUUCGGAGUAAGACCCCUUGAAGACUACAAGGUUGAUAGGCUUCAGGUGUAAGUGUGGUAACGCACUCAGCUGAGAAGUACUAAUAGGUCGAGGACUUAUC